rnacentral:rRNA from 1 species
AGUGAACGCUGGCGGUAGGCCUAACACAUGCAAGUCGAACGGCAGCACAGUAAGAGCUUGCUCUUACGGGUGGCGAGUGGCGGACGGGUGAGGAAUACAUCGGAAUCUACUUUUUCGUGGGGGAUAACGUAGGGAAACUUACGCUAAUACCGCAUACGACCUACGGGUGAAAGCAGGGGAUCUUCGGACCUUGCGCGAUUGAAUGAGCCGAUGUCGGAUUAGCUAGUUGGCGGGGUAAAGGCCCACCAAGGCGACGAUCCGUAGCUGGUCUGAGAGGAUGAUCAGCCACACUGGAACGGGAACACGGUCCAGACUCCUACGGGAGGCAGCAGUGGGGAAUAUUGGACAAUGGGCGCAAGCCUGAUCCAGCCAUACCGCGUGGGUGAAGAAGGCCUUCGGGUUGUAAAGCCCUUUUGUUGGGAAAGAAAAGCAGCAGGUUAAUACCCCGCUGUUCUGACGGUACCCAAAGAAUAAGCACCGGCUAACUUCGUG